CGACGGGUGAGUAACGCGUGAGCAACCUGCCUUUCAGAGAGGGAUAACGUUUGGAAACGAACGCUAAUACCGCAUGACAUUAUCUUAUCGCAUGGUAGGAUAAUCAAAGGAGCAAUCCGCUGAAAGAUGGGCUCGCGUCCGAUUAGGUAGUUGGUGGGGUAACGGCCCACCAAGCCGACGAUCGGUAGCCGGACUGAGAGGUUGGACGGCCACAUUGGGACUGAGACACGGCCCAGACUCCUACGGAAGGCAGCAG
rnacentral:rRNA from 1 species